GUGGCACCCAUCCAAGACAUAACCUGCUUGACAAGAUUUUGGGGUUAAUGGUUACCAUGAGCACAGCAGUAAGAGCAAAAUAUUCAGAUGGGCAAUCAGGAGAAACUGCUUUCAGCCAUUGUUCUUUUUGGGCAUUCAAGCUGACUUAUGAGGGCUGUCUCGGAGGAGACCACCGUGCAGUGGUAUGGCACACCUAGCAGCCCACCAUGCGACAAUCACAUGAUCAACUGCCGAUUACCCAACAGGAGGGGCAUGUACUACGGACAUACUGUUGCCUCUAAUGAACAUAAGUGCCCCUGACAACUACUGUCGCCCCUGACGAACAAAACGUAAAUGCCCCUGGCAACUAAGGCAACCCCUGACAAACAAAACAUAAGUGCUGCUGGUAACAAGCUGCUGCCCCUGGUAACCAAAACAACACUAUGAAGAGGAUAAAAACUUGAAAAGUUCCAAGAUGGAAUGGGUACCCCCUCUGCCAAACUGCAGCCAUACAGAUCAACAAGACAUCGCUGACCAACUUGUCACCUCCCUACUGACCAACGAGACAUCGCUGGAUCCCUGGUGUAGUACCCCAAUCCUUAGCUGCAACCCAGUUCAAGACUGAGCCAUAACUGCAACACGUACAGAGCAGCAGGCUGUCUUUGGACAGAGGUGCCUGCCAUGUACUUCAAGCAAGUCACAGGCAUGAAGAAAUGAGAGGCAAGACGUGAAAUCUGUUGUGAAUUCUAGAAAAAGAAAGGAAUGCUACAGGAGAGCAGUAAGGACCAAGCACAUCAUCUGCUGGAAUGAUCUGAAAAUCAUGGAUAGUCGAACAGUUCAGCACUUCAACCUGCAGCAGUGCAACUCUACUUCAUGUAGCAACACUACUGCCUCAGAGGCCUUAUCAUACUGCUUACUCACCAGCAAACAUACACCACCCCUCCUCAUCAGUGAAGGAACCUUUGGAAGCUGCUUUAAUGAUGAUUCAAGAAGCAGAAUUAAUUUGCGGUUUAAAUGGUCACACAAAGCACAGACCUCAGGAGCACUACUAAUUGGCAUGAGAAGGAAAGGUCAGAUUAAAAAUUUCUACAAAUUGCUCCCUGCAGCAAUGGAAGCAGAUCGUCAGCUAAGAAAAAAAGGCAAAAAUAACUUGAAACAGAGGAUCAUAAGACUUCUGUUCAGUCACAGAAAUGAAAACAAUAUAAUUCCUAUAAAGAUGGCUAUGUGUCUCACUGCAGUAGAUUCGAAAUAAGAGAAUGUUCAAAGCAAUAAUUCCCAUGAUGCUUCAUAAAAGAAAUGCGGACAUUUGUGUUUAUGGAUAGACAGAAUGCAAUGUAGCAAAUUGUUUGUAUUAAGAGCUUUAAGAAUUAGCAGUUUCAAAUGAAUCAUGCAGGAGAAUUCCAAUACUUAAUAGAAAAAAAAAAUAUUUCAGUUUUGUUCUGA